rnacentral:misc_RNA from 1 species
GGCUUUUGCAAAGGGGAUAUGGAGCUAUGUUUGUAAGAUGAACAGUGCUCUGCGUGAAUAUUCUUCCCGUAACCGUAGCCGUUCAACUGCGGUUAUCGCUAAGCUCAGACUCAUUCAGAAGGUUCCACCCGCACUAGAGUCUGGUUCUGAAACAUCUCGCCCAGUGGAGCGCUCUCCUGGUGGUGAUUCCUCUGGCAGCCGUACACAGGAGAAGAAACUUGCGAGGAAGCCAUCCAAGAAAUGGAUAGCAAAC